GGGGCUGACCGGAUUUGACAGCAAGAUGAAGAGGUUUGUAAGCAUGUCGGGCUUUGUGAAUGCUGUCCGUUAAAUUAGGUUCACGAACAUUUAAUUGGCGAAAAUAAUUUUGCUCUUGCAGCCUAAUCGAAUAAAGUAGAUUAAGCUUAAUCCCAGAACCAAGUUUUGGGACAGGACAUCUCGCGAAAAGUUUACCUUUUGCUGUUUCGAUAUCGAGGUGCUAGUAAGUUAAGGUUAGUUGCAAAUAAACUUGGGAUUUGCGAUGAAAAUAACAAGAUAAGGUAGAGUUUGGUUGUCUUAUGCCGCGCUUUACUCGAAAACCUAAAUAAGAAUAAACAUGUAGAAAGCUCUCAGCUUCCUUGUUUGGACCGGGGUUCGACUCCCCGCAGCUCCACAA
rnacentral:tmRNA from 1 species